GGGGUGGGAAGGGGCUGCGCCGUACGUGGGGCAGCGGAGGGUGCGGGGAGCGUGGAGAGCACGAAAUGCUCUUUAUUCUUUUCCUUUUUUUGUUAGUACGAGGUCUCCCGGUCCAUUCAUUUGUUCUUUAAAGGUUCGAACUUUACUUUUCUAAUGCUGUGAUUUUGUGUUUAAAGUCCUUUUUUAUUCAUUUCCCCCUCCCCAAGUCCCUUCCCCACGGAGCGGCUCUGCGCUGCUGCUGCUGAGGCCAUUCGGGAGCCUGCGGGGCUCAUCGGCCAUGCAGAGUUUUGCUAAGUUACUUGUCCGACUCUGAUCAUCGGAAUCAAACAGCAGAAAGUGACUAAAAAAGCGCCGCAGCUCUUCGGGUUGUGUCUCCGUUGCAGGGUUAUGUGUUGAAAUACGUUCCCCUUAUGGUGAAUCAUAAGACACGCGAGUAAAACUUAUUACGGGAUGCUGGAAGGGGGAGAGAAGCUGUUACCUGGAUGGAGCGCGGCGCAGGACUCGCCUCGCUGGGUGUCAGGGGUGGGGGUGGAGAUGCGCUGCAGCGCAGAUGGGCGCUGGGAGCUGCAGGAGCUGCCCUCCUCCCGUCCGACCCGCUCUGGCUCCCGGUGCAGCCCACGCAGUUGUUGGUAUCAGCCCGAGCCUUAAAGCUGGGGGCUUCGUUAACGCCGCUGCCAUUGGCAGCCUUUGUCCUUUAGGGCAGGAUCCGGCUCAGCCGGUGCGCAUCUCUCAUCCUUGUUUCGUGCUGCUGCGUUCGUAAGGGGAUUUUCAAAGCGCUGGAAAUGGCACGUGAAAAAAAAAAAAAAAAAAAAAAAAGAAAAAAGAAAAAGAAAAAAAAAGGAAAAAAAAAAAAAAAAAGUUUAAAAAAAUGCUUGGGAAAAAAAAAAAGAAAAAAAAAAAAACAAGCAAAAACAAAAUAGAGCAAAAGGCAGCGGGGAAAGGAAAAGGAGCUCUGAAUAAACGCAUCUGCAAGCAAUCUCCCCAGUGCACCCUGCUUGUCUUUUGCUAUCUUGCCCCGAGACUUUUUUUGCUUGCAAACUGUGGGGGAGUAGUUAUCUGUGGGGAGCUGGAAGGUCUGGCCAGGAAACCUUCAAGUAGGAGCACUUUCCCUUCUAAGCAGGCCCAGCAGAAAAUGCAGUGGAAGAGAAGAUCCACUCUUCUGAGGAUGGAAUCCUUGGCCAACAUUGGUUGCAACACAGGACAGUAGUCAUCAUCAUCAUUGAUAUAAUGGCCUCCAAAACCCAGAGUCCUGCUCUAGAUGGUUCUGCUAAGAAUAAGGAUGAUACAAGGAUGGAGAAAAUUGGGUGCUGGUGAGCAAAGUGCAUAGUACUCCUCCUGGGAUGUUCUCCUGUUGAUUGGAAACACAUCCAACUUGUCACGUAAGAGGAAUCUUGGUUACUUCAGAUGCUCUUUUUGUCUGCAGCCAUGAUGGACCCUCUUGGGCAGGCAUUUCAGCUGGGCUAGGUCAUGCCUAGCACUUAUACCUGCAGAAUUCAAGAUAGCUGAGGGAACUCAGUACUGUACAGAAGUCGCUGCUGUUGUUCAUACUGCAUGUUGGACUGAAAUUUAGAACCAGACUUGGGAUCUUCUUUGUUUAGCAUGUGUGCUUUCAUGGCCUGUGGGGCUCAGAGAUAGGUUGGUCCCAGCCCUGAAGCAGACCUUGGGCACUGCAAGCAGCACAAGGCUGGAGGAGGCAGCAUGUAGCCAUCUCCUCCUGACUGCUGGAAGCUCCCUGGCUGAGAUGGAUGUUUGCUCUCUUCUUCACCUUCAUUUUUCUUCUUCCUCCUCUUCUUCCUCAUCACCUCUCUGCUGGGGCAGAUUCUUCAUUGAUGGGCUCUGCCCAUUUCCUUGUCCUGGGAAGGGUUGCUGUUACAUUCGCCUGAAUAAUUCAGCCAAGUGUCUGGCUUGAGCUCAAGGUUUGUAGCUUUUUUCCCUCCUGAUUUCCCCAGAUCUCAGUGAGAGCAGAUUUGGCCUUGAAUUUGGGCUUCAAAAUCUUAUGGGGGAUCAACUUUGGGGGAUGGAAAGACAGAGCGGACACACAUCAAAAUCACUAGGGCUUGCCCAAGAAACAGUCGUGGCAUUGGAGUUAGCACAGACGAUGGUGACGAGCAUCUAAACCCCAUGGAGUAAUCCCAGCCCUGGCUGUGCUGCUGACGCUCCUGCUCUCCUCGGGCGUUCGGGAGAUCCUUUAAUGCAGCGGCUCUUUGGCUUUUAGGAGUGGUGGCUGUCCGCCAGCCUGAUUUAUUUUAAACAUGUGUUUCUGAUUUGAAAAUGUCCAGAUCUCCAAAUCUUUAAUCUUCUCACACCUAGGGAUUUUUUUUUUUUGUUGUGUUUUGUUUUUGUAAAGGGCUGAACCACGUGCGCAGGAUAAUGGUUAAAAAGCAGCACAGACAGCUUUAAAAAAAGAAAAAGAGAGAGAGAAGUAGUAAAGAAAUUGAAAUAAAAGGUCCAGCUGGCAUUCUUCUGUUAUCA
ensembl:lncRNA